GUGUUAUUUCGAUAGCACAUAUAAUAAAAUUGGUUCGAUACAGAGAAGAUUAGCAUGGCCCCUGCGCAAGGAUGACAAAAAAAAAAGAAACAAGUAUUUGAAACAUUAUU